AGUGAACGCUGGCGGUAGGCCUAACACAUGCAAGUCGAACGGCAGCACAGUAAGAGCUUGCUCUUACGGGUGGCGAGUGGCGGACGGGUGAGGAAUACAUCGGAAUCUACUUUUUCGUGGGGGAUAACGUAGGGAAACUUACGCUAAUACCGCAUACGACCUACGGGUGAAAGCAGGGGAUCUUCGGACCUUGCGCGAUUGAAUGAGCCGAUGUCGGAUUAGCUAGUUGGCGGGGUAAAGGCCCACCAAGGCGACGAUCCGUAGCUGGUCUGAGAGGAUGAUCAGCCACACUGGAACUUAGACACGGUCCAGACUCCUACGGGCGGCCGCAGUGGGGAAUAUUGGACAAUGGGCGCAAGCCUGAUCCAGCCAUACCGCGUAGGUGAAGAAGGCCUUCGGGUCGUAAAGCCCUUGUGUUGGGAAAGAAAAGCAGCAGGUUAAUACCCCGCUGUUCUGACGGUACCCAAAGAAUAAGCACCGGCUAACUUCGUG
rnacentral:rRNA from 1 species